rnacentral:miRNA from 1 species
UCACUGGGCAAGGUAGACUUUAC